AUUGAACGCUGGCGGCAGGCUUAACACAUGCAAGUCGAGCGGGGUGAUGGUGCUUGCACUAUCACUUAGCGGCGGACGGGUGAGUAAUGCUUAGGAAUCUGCCUAUUAGUGGGGGACAACAUCUCGAAAGGGAUGCUAAUACCGCAUACGUCCUACGGGAGAAAGCAGGGGAUCACUUGUGACCUUGCGCUAAUAGAUGAGCCUAAGUCGGAUUAGCUAGUUGGUGGGGUAAAGGCCUACCAAGGCGACGAUCUGUAGCGGGUCUGAGAGGAUGAACCGCCACACUGGGGCUGAGGCACGGCCCAGACUCCUACGGGAGGCAGCAGUGGGGAAUAUUGGACAAUGGGGGGAACCCUGAUCCAGCCACGCCGCGUGUGUGAAGAAGGCCUUAUGGUUGUAAAGCACUUUAAGCGAGGAGGAGGCUCUUUUGGUUAAUACCCAAGAUGAGUGGGCGUUACUCGCAGAAUAAGCACCGGCUAACUCUGUGCCAGCCGCCGCCGUAA
rnacentral:rRNA from 1 species